rnacentral:rRNA from 1 species
AGGAUAAACGCUGGCGGCGUGCCUAACACAUGCAAGUCGAACGCGCUUUCGGGCUUCGGUGCGAGAGCGAGUGGCGGACGGGUGAGUAACACAUGGGUACCUACCUUGGAGUGAGGGAUACCGGCGAGAAAUCGCCGACAAUACCGCAUAGGCUUCUUCACAAGGGAAGCAAAGUGACGCGAGUCACGCUUUGAGAUGGGCCUGUGGCCGAUUAGCUAGUUGGGGGGGUAACGGCUUCCCAAGGCGACGAUCGGUAGCUGGUCUGAGAGGACGAUCAGCCACACUGGGAUUGAGAACGGCCCAGACUCCUACGGGGGGCAGCAGUGAGGAAUUUUCCGCAAUGGAGGCAACUCUGACGGAGCAACGCCGCGUGCAGGAGGAAGGUUUUCGGAUCGUAAACUGCUUUUCUCGGGGACGAGCAAGGACGGUACCCGAGGAAGAACGCCCCGGCUAACUACGCGCCAGCAGCCGAC